AUGAAGCCCAUACUCAUUUCAGUGCUUGUGAUGAUAUUCACACUUAGAGGAGCACGAGCCCAGACAGUGACUCAGCCUGAGGACCGCAUCUCUGUCGUUGAAGGGACCCCAGCGCAGGUGAAGUGCAGCUACUCGUAUUCUGGGAGUCCUGUGCUCUUCUGGUACGUCCAGUACCCCAAACAAGGCCUCCAGUUACUCCUGGCCAACCUUAACAAGGGUGAGGGGUCCUUCCAUCUGAAGAAACCAUCAGCUCAAGAGGAAGACUCAGCCAUGUAUUACUGCGUUCUGAGUGCCACAGUGACUGGUUUUACAAGGGAAGCAGAGCACAAACCCUUUAGGAGUUACAGAAAAUAUUUCUUUGUCAGUUCUCUACAUGCCGCAGUGGGGCAUUCUUUCUCUAGAGACUGA